UCCCUGGUGGCUCAGAGGUUAAAGCAUCUGCCUGCAAUGCGGGAGACCUGGGUUUGAUCCCUGGGUAGGGAA
rnacentral:tRNA from 1 species